rnacentral:misc_RNA from 1 species
UGAAUUUCUGUCUUUUCUGUUUUUCUGAAUCCCUGUUUUCUAUCAGAGAAAGCCUGGAUCAAAGAGUUGAAGGCAUAAUUUUUACGAAGUGAAAAAAUCUAACCUUGCCCUAUGCUUUUCCCGAUCAAUGCUUUGGACUUCAUUUGACUUAUUCGUUUUGUUAUAUAUACAUUGCACGAUUUUAAAACAGUUUUUGUUUCUUUCCUAAAAAGUGUUGCUGACGGACCAGGGAUCCUCUACAACUACCUUAUCAGUUGUUACAAACAUCGGUGGCCUCCAGAAUGACAAAAACUGCUUCACCCAUUAUCUGACAAUCGCUAUCUUAGCAGGAUUGUUGUUUAUAUUAUCAAUCAUUCUUGGUGGGGUUUUGAUACUGCUACGGAAGAGACAAAAUGUAAUAAAAGAAACUGUUAUAAAGAAUCAACAUGGCUUCAGAGAAAGCUUGCCGUUGAAUGCUUUGAAUGUCGGUGCCCAGCUUAGCUUAGCGGCGGGAAGUAAAAGAAACCAAAGUGAGCCGUCUGUCCAACAGGAGGGUGUAUAUACCGCGCUGUGUUCAGAGUCAGUGAUGACCUCUGAUGAGGAUGGUUCCCGAACGUACGCUUCCCUUGUGAAAUCAACGGAUGAAGAGAGCGACAUUGAAUAUGAGAAUCAAAUAUCUGUUCUUGAGUAUAUAAAUGCUUAAGUGGAUUGUUCAUAGGACGGGUAGCGUUAAUCCGUAAAAGGCAGAGGUGAACAAAAUAUCGAUAGUGUGUGUCUUUGCAAAGCCAUAGAGGAAAAACCAACAGUUUCCAUUGACAUUGGGUUAGUUUAAUGGGGGUUUGAGCAACCCUGUCCUUGAAUUAUGUUCUAUGUAAACGAAAAGUAAACUGUGCUUUUAGCUCGUCUAGGCAAUCUCAUCUGUUCACGCUAUCGCUUAAUUAGAGCUUGUUGCAGUCUCGCCAUUAAAAUGAAUCAAAUGUAAUAAUAACAAUGAUGAUAAUAUGUGAUUGAUUGUGAUCUUUUCUUACUGUACUACGUAGUUAAUCAUUAUUAAUUAUUUGAUAGGAUCAUGUGUGAAUUUUUUUUCUCCACCAUUUUACAAACGCCUAAGUAAAGGUGAAUGAUCUGUAUUGCUGUCUCUCGGUGAAUGUCAUAUUUCAGUAUCUCUUUAUCAAUUUUGUACUCAACCUUGCUCACAGUUCUUACUUCAUGUGGCUGACUUUGAUUGUAUGACGUUAGAUUAUAGGAUGGAUAAGACUAGUGAAACAGUAAAACGCAUUCAAAUCUGA